AUACGGAGGGUGCGAGCGUUACUCGGAGUCACUGGGCGUAAAGCGUCCGUAGGCGGUCGGGUAAGUCGGGUGUGAAAGCCCCGGGCUCAACCUGGGAAGUGCACCCGAUACUGCUCGACUCGAGUGCGGGAGAGGAUGGCGGAAUUCCCGGUGUAGCGGUGAAAUGCGUAGAGAUCGGGAGGAACACCAGUGGCGAAGGCGGCCAUCUGGCCCGCAACUGACGCUGAGGGACGAAAGCGUGGGGAGCAAACAGGAUUAGAUACCCUUGUAGUCC
rnacentral:rRNA from 1 species